GCUGUGUCCAUAGAAUAAGUGAUAAAGACUUUCCCUAAGAGAAAAUUUUCACAGUUGUUGAAAGCAAUCGAAUUAUUCUUUUUUACACAGCCAGUCUAUGUAGUAUGCAUUGCCUGUUGUGCUGGAGGGUGGUCCAAGGGCUUAUGCUUGUAGUAGUGUGGGUUGCUGUCCUCUGUGAGACGGGCUGGGAGCUGUCCAAGCGAGUACAUGCUGUCCAGAGUGAACAGAAGACAGAAGGGGCAGGGGAGAGUAAGGGCAGGCUCAGACAAGCCUUAGCGGGUCUUUGGAACGCCACAGGAGAUGUUACCACCCACAGCCCAAGUGGCCUUCAGCUCAAGCCACUGCCUUGUUUCUUAGAGACACUUGGCCCUGUGCCCAAGGAAAAUACUCUCCCAGCAGGCUAAGAAGCUAGGCUUGCUAAGGGGCCACCCAGCAGUGCCUGCUUUUGAUCUCUUGAUGCUCUCUGCUGCCCUGAACUCUUGCCUGACAAGACCAAGUAGGGGGUGGGAGAGGAUGUGUUUGCUUGCCCUGCCCCCUUUGGCUCAUUUUGGAGAGAGGUCAGGAAGCAGGAGUAGUCUGAUGCCCAGAUCAGAGACGUGAGUGCAGCUUCAGUGGUUUAAGGGGGACACAGUGCCUCAGGACAGUUCAGUGUUGCAGGUGGUCUCUUCUCUCACAAGCAAGCAAGGAGCCGUGGACAGAACUGUUGUGGACAGGCAUGCCUUAUCCAGCCAGAACCACUCUUUCCUCAGAUUAAAUAAAGUAUUGGAGAAACGUCUUCACUAGCAGUUUGCUGUGGUAGAUGAAUAAUCUCUAUAUGUUGCCUUUUAGUGUGGAAUGCAUCAGUUAAAAUCUCAAGAAACCCCGAGGCAGAGGAUUAAGAGAUACUGAAGAGAAGAUGAGUCUGUGUGCAUUUAUCUGUGCUUAGCCUGCUCCGAAUGGGAACUCAGCUCUCAAAUGAAGGUGUGUGUGGUAUGUGAUGGUGGAAGUAACCAGCAGCCAGGCAAAUGGCAGAGCGUGGCCCUUUUCCACCUCCAUGUGUAAUAAUUGCAGGACUCCCUUCCCAGGUAAGAUGACAGAAUAUUGGGACCGUAUGCCAUGUAAGCCCAUGUCUGUCCACUCAGAUAUUUUGUUUAAUUGAAGUAUAUAUGAUUUUAAAGUGCCUCAGAAACAGAUUUUUUGCGUGAAAACCAGAGUUAUCAUGGUCAUAGAAGUCUUCCAGAGCUGGAAGUGACUUCAAGUAGAGAUUCAACAAAAGCAAUUAGCAAAGCAAAGGGCUGGGCUUGGUUCUGAGUGUCCCAGUUCUGGAAAGAGCGAGCCUCUCUAGCAGAUGAUGAUUCAGAAGUAGUGACUGAUUGCUUAAGAUUUCUGGAACUAAGAAUCCUAGCUGGCCUCACUCUCAGAACAUUCUGGUGAUAUUUCAACAUGUCUGGUUCUAGCAGCAAAAUGUGGGGAACGAAUCACUGCCUGACAAUGAAUGGAAUAUUUCUUUAAAUAAAACUAAAUUUCUUGAGUUUGCAUCGGGGUGUGAAGCAGUAUGGGCGAUAUGAGACAGUUUUUGUUUUUGUUUUUUCAGACAAGACUGCUCACUCCUGCAGAAAAUGACCUUGUUCUUGAGAGCUGCUGCUAAUUUACAGUGAGGCACUAGGUUUCUACCCAGUGCCACGUGAGCAACCAAUCCAUCUACCCAGGGGCACGGCACUGACGAGCAGCAUCAUUUAGAAGGAAAGAAGUAUGGGUGGUGUUUGUUGUUUCCUGUGUGUUAAGGAAAAUCCAGUGAUGCACCAAGACUCAACACCUAGACCCACGAGAGUAGAUGCUCAGGAAAGAUUUGCUGACUGAACACAUGAUUGUGUCUACGCCUAGCAGUACUUUGUUGCGGGAUGGGCCCUGGCAGGGUUGGUAAAGCCCUCAUUUGUAGACAUGGAACCUCCCAGCUCCAGCCCUGCUAAGAACUGACAGAACUUGGCUAGCUCCAUGUUUUGUUCACGUGACUCUCAACCUGGUGUGGCCUGGACUCUAGUCCCUGCCUCAAGGAAAGUCCAGACUGACAUAGAAAAUCCCUGCUCACCAGCCUUGACCUUGGGAGAAAGCCCCUGACCUGUGAGUGGACAGAAGGCCUGGUGGUC
rnacentral:lncRNA from 1 species